rnacentral:misc_RNA from 1 species
AACGGUCUAUACCUGCGGUACCUGCGGAAGGAUCAUUAGAGAAUCAUUGACACGGGGUUUAUCCCCCCUGUCAACCCACUCUAUUUCACCCCUUGUGAACUGUCGAUCGGUCGAGAAUGUCUUCACAUUCUUGGUCGAGGGUGCUGCAAUUCAAUUUCGACUUGCCACCCAAAUCACCCUUUUGAAAAAACCAUAGUGUGUUGAAUGGUACGCCACAUGGCGAUUCUCUGAAACACAAUA